ACCAAGGAGUCUAACAUGUGCGCGAGCCGCGGGGCAGUACGAAACCCGUAAGGCGAAAUGAAGGUGAACGCCGGCGCGGUCCGGCGGAGGUUGGAUCCCGUCCCGUCGGGGCGGGCGCACUACCGGCCGAUCUUCUCCGCCCUGUCGGCGAGGUCGAGCGAGAGCGUGCAAGUCGGGACCCGAAAGAUGGUGAACUAUGCCUGAGGAGGUUGAAGCCAGAGGAAACUCUGGUGGAGGACCGUAGCGAUUCUGACGUGCAAAUCGAUCGUCAAAUGAAUCCACCACAUGGAGCUCA
rnacentral:ncRNA from 1 species